UGAAUGUCGCAUAACUUGUUUUACUGGAGAAAUCCUUUAUAAUGAUAGACUAGGUUCUGACAGACUUAUGUUUCCCUGUAUGUUCUGUCACAUUCCAACUAUCCAAACCAGAGUUUUUUAUUCUGAUGAAAUUUGUGCAUAUCAUGUGUUUUUUUUUCUUUAUGCCUUCGUAGUACCUGGUUGUUUUUGUAGAUAUAAGUCAUAAUAUUUUUCUAUUGUUUAUCAUUUAAAUUAUUGCCCAAAACAUAUUUUAGAAAUUAAGAUUUAAAAAUAAAUUUUUCUACAUAU
rnacentral:misc_RNA from 1 species